UGGGGGAUAUUGCACAAUGGGCGCAAGCCUGAUGCAGCGACGCCGCGUGGGGGAUGAAGGCCUUCGGGUUGUAAACUUCUUUUGCUCUGAACAAGGCACACUUUGGGGUGUGUUGAGUGUAGGGGUUGAUUAGCGCCGGCUAACUACGUGCCAGCAGCCGCGGUAAUACGUAGGGCGCGAGCGUUGUCCGGAAUUAUUGGGCGUAAAGGGCUUGUAGGUGGCUGGUUGCGUCUGUCGUGAAAGCUCAUGGCUUAACUGUGGGUUUGCGGUGGGUACGGGCUGGCUUGAGUGCAGUAGGGGAGGCUGGAAUUCCUGGUGUAGCGGUGGAAUGCGCAGAUAUCAGGAGGAAUACCGGUGGCGAAGGCGGGUCUCUGGGCUGUUACUGACACUGAGGAGCGAAAGCAUGGGGAGCGAACAGG
rnacentral:rRNA from 1 species